AGUGUCAAGAGUCCUACAUCUAAAAGAGAAAGGAACUCUAAUGGGUUUAUAAGAUUCAAGAGCCAACUAACUAAUUGGUUAAUUCUAACCUUUUAGUACUGGUUGGUCUAACCCUAAGUAAACCCAAUCUUCAUUCUUCAUGGACUGUUGCUUCUAGCCCAUUCAUUUAGCUCCGCUCUUUCAAUUCAGUAAUACUAAGAAAUUAUCCUUCCACCCACCAAAACACUUAAAAAAUAUUUUGAACCAUGAGAACUCAAAAGCUAGAUAUGAAAUCAAAUUAUCCUACAAACCGCUAUGGAUGACUGUUCAUCAUUGAAACUAAAGAUGAACAGGUGUCAAUGAAUGCCCCUCCUUUCCCAACUAUCUUUUCU
rnacentral:misc_RNA from 1 species